CCUUCUGGCCGUGCAUUCAGAAUUGACGAAUAGUGCGGUCGUAUUUCUUAGGUAGAUGGCAGAAUAAACAAUUGCGAUUUAAUCUUGUCACACGGUUCAAAACGGUCAUGUCAGGUUCACGAGCGGUCAAAUGUGAUGUCACCUUAUCAUCCACUCAAGACUAAAGUUACAUACAGUUUCUAUAUCAGUUUAAAAAGUAAAAAUGAAGCACUACGUCGUAUUUGUUCUACUAAUUAUCAGUGUGCAAUGCAUGUCCAAUCCACGGAUAACAAGGCAGGCUGACGAUUAUGACGAUGGCAUGGGGUUUAAUAGCAACGGUAGAGGUGGUGAUGAUGACUUCAUUGCUAACUCAUCGAGUUGUCCCGCAGGGAUGACUAGAGCGCCGUGGGGCGCUUGUAUAGCGUGUUACGAAUACCGGCAAAAAUUUGGCCAUGCGGGAGCUAACUGCUAAGGGAAACUAAAAAAAUGUUAAUUAGAUAAGCCACUUC